rnacentral:rRNA from 1 species
UACGUAGGGUGCGAGCGUUAAUCGGAAUUACUGGGCGUAAAGUGUGCGCAGGCGGCCGAGCAAGUCGAGUGUGAAAGCCCCGAGCUUAACUUGGGAACUGCGCUCGAAACUACUUGGCUAGAGUGUGGCAGAGGGAGGUGGAAUUCCACGUGUAGCGGUGAAAUUCGUAGAUAUUCGGAAGAACACCAGUGGCGAAGGCGGCUCACUGGACCGGUAUUGACGCUGAGGUGCGAAAGCGUGGGGAGCAAACAGG